rnacentral:rRNA from 1 species
AUACGAGGGGUGCAAGCGUUAAUCGGAAUUACUGGGCGUAAAGCGUUCGUAGGCGGUUUGUUAAGCAAGAUGUGAAAGCCCUGGGCUCAACCUGGGAACUGCAUUUUGAACUGGCAAGCUAGAAUACUGUAGAGGGUGGUGGGAUUUCCAGUGUAGCGGUGAAAUGCGUAGAGAUUAGAAGGAACAUCAGUGGCGAAGGCGGCCACCUGGACAGAUAUUGACGCUCAGGAACGAAAGCGUGGGGAGCGAACAGGAUUAGAUACCCCAGUAGUCC